UCUCAUUAUUAGCUUAAUUGUAAAAUUUUUAGUCGAGAAAAUGCCGAGGAUAUUCCUGAUAUAUACUGGCAACAAGCAGCCAGAGAACUAGACUUCUGUACAUGUAGAAAAUGUCAGGCUCGGUACAGACAAUAUUUUGAAGAUGAACCGUUUAGUCCUGUGUCUAGUAAUGGUAUAGCUGAAGCUAUUCUACCAUUAGAAACACAGGUGAUGAUGCAGGAUCUGUUGAGCGAUGGAAUGGCAUUUUGCUCUUUGAUGUAAAUAAACAAAAACUGGUUUCUUAUUGUAAACAAACAAUGGUUUCCGAAAAUAAAAAUUAUAAAAUUUAA